rnacentral:tRNA from 2 species
GGGAGUUUGGCCGAGUGGUUAAGGCGCUGUGUUUAGGUCAUAGGGUGGCUUCGUGCCUCUUAUACCAUAAAUCCCGCAGUGGGAAACCGCGCAGGUUCGAAUCCUGCAGCUCUCA